rnacentral:pre_miRNA from 1 species
AAUAAGUGCAGUUUUCUACUAUUUAUGUUCAACGUUUGACCGUCCGUCUUAUUUGAAAAUUUUUUAUAAUUGGUAUUUUUAUUGCUAUUAGAUGAUAAAACAUGAAUAGUACUUUAUGUGUGACUAAAUGUUUUUAAUUUUUUCAUAAAUUUUUCAAAUAAGACGGACGGUCAAACGUUGAACGUGAAUAGUGUAAAACUGCACUUAUU